UGGUGGGGUAGAGGCUAGGAACCGCGUCCCGCAAGGUCGGGCACCUAUUAGGGCGCGGGGGAGCCAGUGGUGCGACCGGCUACCGUAACC
rnacentral:ncRNA from 1 species